AGCCCAUAUCUCAUGUAAGGCCACCCUUGCAUCUUUUAAUAUAUUAUCAUAUCAGAUUUAGACAAAAGUAAACCCUCCUAACUCUAUGAAUCGUUGGAUGAUAUCAUCCAAACAGCAUUAAUAAAAUAUUAUUAUGUAACAUAUCCAUCUUGUCAAAUUUUGAAAAAAUAUAAAUAUUACUUGUACUUGUAGAUCGUAUCAUAAUUAUUUUUCUAGACCAAGCCCUACAACUUAAUCAAAUUUCCUGCACCAUCCAUCAAGAAGUAC
rnacentral:lncRNA from 1 species